rnacentral:tRNA from 1 species
GGGGGUAUAGCUCAGUGGUAGAGCACCCGCAUACGUAUCGGAUGGUCGGGAGUUCGACUCCCUCUGCCUCCA